GUGAUGGCAGGCCAGUAAAGAAAAAACAAAAGAGGUCGACGUGUUUUAACAGUGAUUGGGUUAAACAGGAGAAGUACGCUAUGGCUAAAACCAUGCCCAGGCGAUCCAUUUUAUGCUAGCUGCUCCCUGUGCCUAGCGAAAUUUCUCAUAAAACAUGAAGGAAAAAAAGCAUUAGAUGACCACGUCAAAAGUAAAAACAUCAAAAUCGAACCAAAAGGUCACGUCAAACAAAGGCAAUUUCGUCCUUCAUGGUGACAAAAUCAUCGCAAGACAAGCACUCUAAGCGAUCAGGAGAGAUCUUCCAGGUGUGAUGAUAGUGGAGGAUCCUGCAGCCUAGUUUAUAUAGCACACCCUCUCAGCCGCAGCAGGAAACAAAAUGGUCUUUCACGUAGUUGGUGCGCUGUCUGGGGAGUCAUCUGCUGAGGAUGGUGUUGUCCUGUCUGAACUGCCCAAUGCACCAGCAGAGGCAUUGGAGGACGUAGCCCAUGAGGAACACCUACGUGUAAAGCGUGGAUGGGGAAAGCUCCAAAUGUUGGAAGAGAUUCCGGAAGAAGGCCAAAAAAGGGAUUAAAGGGGCGGCUACUGCUAUAGCUGCAAAUGCAGCUGGAAAUGCAGCUAUAGCAGUGCUCGGAUGAAGGGAGCCACCUGCUAGAAAUGGAGGGUUGAGAAAGGGGUGAAAAUUGAAUGUAGAAUGUUGUUGUUGUUGU